rnacentral:rRNA from 1 species
GAUGAACGCUGGCGGCGUGCCUAAUACAUGCAAGUCGAACGCAUUGUGGUUGAAAUGAUAUGAAGAACUUGUUCAGAUUUGAUUUUCAACAUUGCAAUGAGUGGCGAACGGGUGAGUAACACGUGGGAAACCUACCUCUUAGCAGGGGAUAACAUUUGGAAACAAAUGCUAAUACCGUAUAAUAAUUAAAACCGCAUGGUUUUAGUUUAAAAGAUGGUCUUGCUAUCACUAAGAGAUGGUCCCGCGGUGUAUUAGUUAGUUGGUGAGGUAAUGGCUCACCAAGACAAUGAUACAUAGCCGAGUUGAGAGACUGGCCGGCCACAAUGGGACUGAGACACGGCCCAUACUCCUACGGGAGGCAGCAGUAGGGAAUCUUCCACAAUGGACGAAAGUCUGAUGGAGCAACGCCGCGUGUGUGAUGAAGGGUUUCGGCUCGUAAAACACUGUUGUAAGAGAAGAAUGACAUUGAGAGUAACUGUUCAAUGUGUGACGGUAUCUUAACCG